rnacentral:rRNA from 1 species
AAUCAACGCUGGCGGCGUGCCUCAGACAUGCAAGUCGAACGCGAAAGUCCCCUUCGGGGGAUAAGUAGAGUGGCGCACGGGUGAGUAACACGUAGGUAAUCUACCUUCGGGUGGGGAAUAACCCAGGGAAACUUGGGCUAACACCGCAUAAUGCAGCGGCACCACAUGGUGACAGUUGUUAAAGCGGGGGAUUUUCGGACCUCGCGCCUGGAGAGGAGCCUGCGGCAGAUUAGCUAGNGGUUAAGGUAACGGCUUACCAAGGCGACGAUCUGUAACCGGCCUGAGAGGGCGGUCGGUCACACUGACACUGACAUACGGGUCAGACUCCUACGGGAGGCAGCAGUCGGGAAUUUUGGGCAAUGGGCGAAAGCCUGACCCAGCAACGCCGCGUGAAGGAUG